rnacentral:rRNA from 1 species
GGGACCGCACAAGCGGUGGAUGAUGUGGAUUAAUUCGAUGACAACGCGAAAAACCUUACCUACCCUUGACAUGUUCAGAAGUCUUGAGAGAUUGAGAUGUGCCCGAAAGGGAACUGGAACACAGGUGCUGCAUGGCUGUCGUCAGCUCGUGUCGUGAGAUGUUGGGUUAAGUCCCGCAACGAGCGCAACCCUUGUCGUUAAUUGCCAUCAUUUAGUUGGGCACUUUAACGAGACUGCCGGUGACAAACCGGAGGAAGUGGGGAUGACGUCAAGUCCUCAUGGCCCUUAUGGGUAGGGCUUCACACGUCAUACAAUGGUCGGUACAAAGGGUUGCCAAGCCGCGAGGUGGAGCCAAUCCCAGAAAGCCGAUCGUAGUCCGGAUUGCAGGCUGCAACUCGCCUGCAUGAAGUCGGAAUCGCUAGUAAUCGUGGAUCAGCAUGUCACGGUGAAUACGUUCCCGGGUCUU